rnacentral:lncRNA from 1 species
AUGGCAAGUCAUUGUUCUGCUGAUGGUCCGUCUGUACCUGAGCAGCCGACGGCUGCCACAAGUGGCGUAUCGCAGGAAGACAUGCCGGGUGCCAGCACCAGCCUCCUGGAUGCUGAGGCUCCCAGCAUGAUUCGGACCCCCCUGCGGAGUCAGCAAGAGAAGGGGUCCAUAGAAGAGAGACUCAAGGUGUUCUGCUACCUGCCCAAGAGGCGGGAACCUCUAGGCUGUUACCUGUCCAGGUCUAUCCCUUCCAAAGUCGACAGCUUCCGUAAGAAGAUGCCCACGGAGACGAGCCAGGACUGACCCUUUUCCCGCUGCCCGGAUGGAUGGUGUGAAGUGGCUUAGGGGGACGUUUCUCCAUUCAUGGAGCAAGGCUCCACUGUUUUGCUGGUGGAUCCAGAGACUGCUGCUUGCAACUCCUGCCACUGCUGUGUUGUGAGCAAAGGAUGAUGACCAGGUUGCGGUUGUGUGCUCUGUGUCUCUAUCCAUCCUCAGGAUCUGCUCUUCUUAAAAAGAAAUCAAGACUAAUCGUAAAGGCACAUGUGUUCACGUCAGAGGAAGGUGUUAAGGCGAUACGGCUUCUGCUAUAUGAAACUCCUCUUUGUCUCAAGCGUCAGUGUUUAUUUUUGUAAUAAAGGAUGUUAAACCUCUAUGAGGAGUAUGUUU